AUUGAACGCUGGCGGCAUGCUUUACACAUGCAAGUCGAACGGUAACAGGCCUUCGGGUGCUGACGAGUGGCGAACGGGUGAGUAAUGCAUCGGAACGUACCCAGAGGUGGGGGAUAACGCAGCGAAAGCUGUGCUAAUACCGCAUGUGAUCUGAGGAUGAAAGCGGGGGACCGAGCAGCAAUGUUUUGCCUCGCGCCUUUGGAGCGGCCGAUGUCGGAUUAGCUAGUUGGUGGGGUAAAGGCCUACCAAGGCGACGAUCCGUAGCUGGUCUGAGAGGACGACCGGCCACACUGGAACUGAGACACGGCCCAGACUCCUACGGGGGGCAGCAGUGGGGAAUUUUGGACAAUGGGCGCAAGCCUGAUCCAGCAAUGCCGCGUGCGGGAAGAAGGCCUUCGGGUUGUAAACCGCUUUUGGCAGGAACGAAACGGUGUCCGCUAAUACCGGGCGCUAAUGACGGUACCUGCAGAAUAAGCACCGGCUAACUACGUG
rnacentral:rRNA from 1 species